UACGAAGGGGGCUAGCGUUGCUCGGAAUCACUGGGCGUAAAGCGCACGUAGGCGGAUUGUUAAGUCAGGGGUGAAAUCCUGGAGCUCAACUCCAGAACUGCCUUUGAUACUGGCGAUCUCGAGUCCGGGAGAGGUGAGUGGAACUCCGAGUGUAGAGGUGAAAUUCGUAGAUAUUCGGAAGAACACCAGUGGCGAAGGCGGCUCACUGGCCCGGUACUGACGCUGAGGUGCGAAAGCGUGGGGAGCAAACAGGG
rnacentral:rRNA from 1 species